CCAAGUGAGAAGGGUAAGAGAAUGAGAGGGAGGAGUUGGAGGAUUUGAUGAGGUAAGGAUGAAAGUAUUCUGGAACGUCACCGUUUUUGAGAACGAAGUUUUGGAAGAACGAGUUUGUUGGGAGUGGGUUUGAGAGAAGGUUUUGGGAGAAGAAAUUGGAAGGUUCUGGAA